CCCCUAGUAGGACGUCGCGACCCGUUGGGUGUCGGUCUACGGCCCGAAUCGUCGACUGUUGCGUUACGUACUCCGUGCACGUGACAGACGUUCGGUCGCCCGACCGGCUGCCCGGCGGUAUCGAAAGCUAACUUAAACUGGUAUAGAGCCGCAUUAAAUGCGUCCGACUCGUCGGCCGGCUCGUCUCGCUCGGAUUUACGGACUUUGUGCCGUUGUCGGGCGCUUGAUGGGC
rnacentral:rRNA from 1 species